rnacentral:rRNA from 1 species
GACGAACGCUGGCGGCGUGCUUAACACAUGCAAGUCGAACGGAAAGGCCCUGCUUUUGUGGGGUGCUCGAGUGGCGAACGGGUGAGUAACACGUGAGUAACCUGCCCUUGACUUUGGGAUAACUUCAGGAAACUGGGGCUAAUACCGGAUAGGAGCUCCUGCUGCAUGGUGGGGGUUGGAAAGUUUCGGCGGUUGGGGAUGGACUCGCGGCUUAUCAGCUUGUUGGUGGGGUAGUGGCUUACCAAGGCUUUGACGGGUAGCCGGCCUGAGAGGGUGACCGGCCACAUUGGGACUGAGAUACGGCCCAGACUCCUACGGGAGGCAGCAGUGGGGAAUAUUGCACAUUGGGCGGAAGCCUGAUGCAGCAACGCCGCGUGCGGGAUGACGGCCUUCGGGUUGUAAGCCGCUUUCGCCUGUGACGAAGCGUGAGUGACGGUAAUGGGUAAAGAAGCACCGGCUAACUACGUG